rnacentral:rRNA from 1 species
UACGGAGGGGGCGAGCGUUGUCCGAAGUUACUGGGCGUAACGCGCGCGUAGGCGGACCUGCAAGUCGGGGGUGAAAGCCCGAGGCUCAACCUCGGAACUGCCUUCGAUACUGCGGGUCUCGAGUCCGGGAGAGGUGAGUGGAAUUCCUAGUGUAGAGGUGAAAUUCGUAGAUAUUAGGAAGAACACCAGUGGCGAAGGCGGCUCACUGGCCCGGUACUGACGCUGAGGCGCGAAAGCGUGGGGAGCAAACAGG